UCAAAUAAAUUACUUUAUAAAAAGAAGCAUUUUUAAGGCAAACUUUCUGACACUUAAAACUUAGCUCUGCAGUUUAAAAAUUAUUCUUAAAUACGUAAGAAUUAUUUACGAGUAUUUAUUUGUUAACGUCAAUUUAGAUGUACCGGAGGAUGUUUAAUUUUAUAUUUGACAAAGUUCUGUCAAUCACCUACUCACCUCCAUGAUAUGUCAAAUGGGAACCUCCAUCGUGUGACACAUUGCGAGCAGUGUUAAAAUGUUUCAGCACUGCAAAAAAAACAAAAUCGGUUGAUGUAUAAGCGAAUAUGUGUGGUAUGUGCUCUGUACACAAAAUUUUGAAAAAAGCCCUUACAAAAUUCAAAACCUUCAACAACUAGGACAAGAUGAUUUUGAUAGGAGAAUUGAAUUUUGCGAACUGAUGUGCCAGCGAAUUGAUGGGGACCUCCAUUUAGUGUAAGGAACAUUUGCUUCAGUGACAACUGAUUUUUUUUUCUAAAUGGACUGGUAAACAGGCAUAAUUGUAGAUACUGGGAUAAUGAAAAUCCACACAUGAAACAUCAUGAAAAAAUUGAUGAAUGGGCAGGAAUUUAUGACCUCGAAAAUACAAUACAUCCUUCAAUCUUCCACAAUCUUUCCACCAAGAUGGAGCUCCAUCGUACUACGCAUUGGCAAUUGAGAGUGGCUUAAUGAACGGUUUACAGGAUUGUUGAUUGGUAUGCGUGGGACAAUUGAAUGGCCCGUACAGUCGCCAGACUUAACACCACUAGAUUUUUUUUUAUUUGUGGGUUUUAAAAAGCAAAGCUUAUAAAACUCUAACUGAAAAUAUUAAUGAUUUAAAGGAUCGAGUUACUCGCGAAUGUAGAGAUAUUAGCCGACAAACACUUGCCAAUGUUCGUGAGGAAUUUGAAAACAGACUUUAUUAUUGUCUCGCGAAUAACAGAACACAUGUUAAGCACUUAAUAAAAUAAAUUCUGUGAACUGAUUAAAUUGUUUAUUUUUUAAACACCUUUUUUCACCACCUUUCACUGUUUAUAAGCCUAUAUACUUACAUUUUUUAUACACUGUUGUGGUGGUAUGCCCUUUAAAAUGAUAUAUCACACCAUAGGAUAGUUAUUUGACAUACCAAAGUAUGGCAUCGAUAAUUUAUUUAUUAUUACCAGACAUCUUAGCUCACUAUUUGCUGAUACAUCAGCCGAUUAAUUUUUUUUGGCCCUGUUGAAUAGACAUUUUAAUUCUGCUUACAAUGAUGAUGUGUCACAGGAUGGGGGUUUCCAUUUUUCAUAUCAAAGUGAGGUUAGCUGGAGGUGAUUGAGAGAUUUUUGUCUCUUAAUCUAAAAAAUUAAACGUCCCCCUGAAAACGUACGUAAUAAGUACUUCGUUUGGGCACGUAAGACCGUCCUUUUAAACCUGGUACUUAGUAGCAUGAAGGUACAAUCUAUUAUUUAUUAUAAUCUGAUUCCGAAACUUUGAAGAAAUUUUAAACUUUUUUACUCUAUGGUUUAUACACUACACACAAUACAUCAAAUAGACCAAAGAGGAGCCAAAAUAAAAAAUGCAAUCUGUCAUGAUAAAAUGCAUCAUGAGAAUAAAAGGUACUAUUGGGUAGUCCUAAAUUAUCAAUUCGAAACCUGGUUCCGUAACUGAUGCGAACUGGAAUUGACUUUUUAUAUUUCUUGUGAACAAUAUUUUUUACUGUCAUAAUAUUAAGAAUGAAAAAACUUUCCUGACUACAGAGGGUUGCAGUGCUCCCUAAUACUUACUUACUCCCCCUAAGAAUUGGAGCUUUUUUUUAAGGACAAAAAUUGACGGCAAUAAUCGGCCACUUCCAAAACACCAAAAACUUUAACCUCACACUUGUAAGUGAGACUCCACUAGGGUAAAAUAUACUUGCCUAAAAAUACCCUGUCCCAAAUCCAUUCUUGCUGCCCUUACAGCAUAACAGGCAGAUGCAACUUCUUGCAUGAGUUCACACACUUUUUCAUUGUCGUCAUCACACGAUUAUCAAACUUUCUCAGAAAAUUAUGGUUGUUAUAUAAACAUUGUCUAUAACUACAUCUGAUACUAUACAUUUAAAGUUCAAAAUAUUAGUUUCUACAACAUUAUAUCAAGCUCUUGCUGUCGCAUUGCACUAUUGUUUUAAUAUCUUAUUAGAAUGUGUUAAUAUAUCUGAGAAGUUAGU
rnacentral:lncRNA from 1 species